rnacentral:lncRNA from 1 species
UUGUGAUUAUGCAUACUGAUGCUUCAAAUGUGACUUUAAAUCCUUUAUCACAAAAUUGGCUUAUGCUAAGUAGGUUAUGUUUCAAACCAUUAACUAAUAAGAUAUUUUCUAUGAAGGUAGAUGGAGUAAUGAAAAUUUUACCUUUCCAAUGAUAAACCCUUUUCCAUUGUCUCCAUAGGUUACUACUCCACCCUUCUUAGACUCCAAGGUGACAAUUUGGUCUACGUCACCAGUCAUGUGUCUUGAACAGCCGCUAUAUAGAUACCAUCGUUUAUCCACCUUAUUAGCUGCAAGACACCCCUGCAAUCAAGAUCAAGAAUGAGCUUUAGGUACCCAAACUAAGUUGGGUCCUUUAGGGUAGUACUUGAUGUUCCUUUUGAAACCCAAACUUUCUUGAAUUUAAGCUUAUAAUUGUUACUCAAUUUGUUGUAGCUAGACAUUCUAUAGUUACAUUCAUAUGCUUUAUGUCCUAAUUUAUUGCAACAAUGGCAAGUUAUAUUUUCAUUUUUAGCUUUUACAAAUAUGUUCUUUAAGUAUUUUUGUUUUCUAUUUGUUUUAUAUCCUAAUCCAGCUUUAUCAUAUACAGCUUUUUGACUAUCAAGAAUCAUAUUUAAUUUGGUUGAGCUAAGUGUAAACUUGUCUACUAAGGAUUUAUAUUUUUCAGCAUCUUCUUUUAACUUGACAUUUUCAGCAAUUAGAUUCUUGGUUUCAUUUGUGAGUCUCCUACUUAAUGUUUCAUAA